rnacentral:rRNA from 1 species
AGUGAACGCUGGCGGUAGGCCUAACACAUGCAAGUCGAACGGCAGCACAGUAAGAGCUUGCUCUUACGGGUGGCGAGUGGCGGACGGGUGAGGAAUACAUCGGAAUCUACUUUUUCGUGGGGGAUAACGUAGGGAAACUUACGCUAAUACCGCAUACGACCUACGGGUGAAAGCAGGGGAUCUUCGGACCUUGCGCGAUUGAAUGAGCCGAUGUCGGAUUAGCUAGUUGGCGGGGUAAAGGCCCACCAAGGCGACGAUCCGUAGCUGGUCUGAGAGGAUGAUCAGCCACACUGGAACUGAGACACGGUCCAGACUCCGACGGGAGGCAGCAGUGGGGAAUAUUGGACAAUGGGCGCAAGCCUGAUCCAGCCAUACCGCGUGGGUGAAGAAGGCCUUCGGGUUGUAAAGCCCUUUUGUUGGGAAAGAAAAGCAGCAGGUUAAGACCCCGCUGUUCUGACGGUACCCAAAGAAUAAGCACCGGCUAACUUCGU